ensembl:snRNA U6 U6 spliceosomal RNA
AUUCUCGCUUCGGCAGCACAUAUACUCAAAUUGGAAUGAUUCAGAGAUUAGCACAGCCCCUGUGCAAGGAUGACACACAAAUUCAUGAAGCGUUCCAUAUAUUU